rnacentral:rRNA from 1 species
AUUGAACGCUGGCGGAAUGCUUUACUCAUGCAAGUCGAACGAUGAACCUUAGCUUGCUAAGGGGAUUAGUGGCGAACGGGUGAGUAAUAUAUCGGAACGUACCUUGUAAUGGGGGAUAACUAGUCGAAAGAUUAGCUAAUACCGCAUACGCCCUGAGGUGGAAAGUAGGGGAUCUUCGGACCUUACGUUAUAAGAGCGGUAGAUAUCUGAUUAGCUAGUUGGUGGGGUAAUGGCCUACCAAGGCGACGAUCAGUAGCUGGUCUGAGAGGACGACCAGCCACACUGGAACUGAGACACGGUCCAGACUCCUACGGGAGGCAGCAGUGGGGAAUUUUGGACAAUGGGCGCAAGCCUGAUCCAGCCAUUCCGCGUGAGUGAAGAAGGCCUUCGGGUUGUAAAGCUCUUUCGCAAGGGAAGAAAACUUACAUUCUAAUAAAGUGUGAGGCUGACGGUACCUUGAUAAGAAGCACCGGCUAACUACGUGCCAGCCGCCGCAGUAA